rnacentral:rRNA from 1 species
GACGUAGGGCGCGAGCGUUGUCCGGAUUUAUUGGGCGUAAAGAGCUCGUAGGCGGCUUGUCGCGUCGUUCGUGAAAACCUGCGGCUCAACUGCAGGCUUGCGGUCGAUACGGGCAGGCUGGAGUUCGGUAGGGGAGACUGGAAUUCCUGGCGUAGCGGUGAAAUGCGCAGAUAUCAGGAGGAACACCGGUGGCGAAGGCGGGUCUCUGGGUCGAUACUGACGCUGAGGAGCGAAAGCGUGGGGAGCGAACAGG